rnacentral:rRNA from 1 species
UACGGGGGGAGCAAGCGUUGUUCGGAUUUACUGGGCGUAAAGGGCGCGUAGGCGGCCAGUGCAAGUCAGUUGUGAAAUCUCCGAGCUUAACUCGGAAAGGUCAACUGAUACUGCUCGGCUAGAGUGCGGAAGGGGCAACUGGAAUUCUUGGUGUAGCGGUGAAAUGCGUAGAUAUCUGGAGGAACACCGGUGGCGAAGGCGGCAUCCUGGACCGGUAUUGACGCUGAGGCGCGAAAGCCAGGGGAGCAAACGGG